rnacentral:rRNA from 1 species
AUUGAACGCUGGCGGCAGGCCUAACACAUGCAAGUCGAACGAGUGGCGGACGGGUGAGUAAUGUCUGGGAAACUGCCCGAUGGAGGGGGAUAACUACUGGAAACAGUAGCUAAUACAGCAUACCAUCAGAUGUGCCCAUAGUGGAUUAGCUAGUAGGUGAGGUAACGGCUCACCUAGGCGACGAUCACUAGCUGGUCUGAGAGGAUGACCAGCCACACGUGAACGUAGACACGGUCCAGACUCCUACGGGAGGCAGCAGUGGUGAAUAUUGCACAAUGGGCGCAAGCCUGAUGCAGCCAUGCCGCGUGUAUGAAGAAGGCCUUCGGGUUGUAAAGUACUUUCAGCGAGGAGGCGUUACUCGCAGAAGAAGCACCGGCUAACUCCGUGCCAGCAGCCGCGGUAAUAC